UGGGGGAUAUUGCACAAUGGGCGAAAGCCUGAUGCAGCGACGCCGCGUGGGGGAUGAAGGCUUUCGGGUUGUAAACCUCUUUCGCUAUCGAACAAGGCCCGCUUAGGGUGGGUUGAGGGUAGGUGGAGAAGAAGCGCCGGCUAACUACGUGCCAGCAGCCGCGGUAAUACGUAGGGCGCGAGCGUUGUCCGGAAUUAUUGGGCGUAAAGGGCUUGUAGGCGGCUUGUUGCGCCUGCUGUGAAAACGCGGGGCUUAACUUCGCGCGUGCAGUGGGUACGGGCAGGCUUGAGUGUGGUAGGGGUGACUGGAAUUCCAGGUGUAGCGGUGGAAUGCGCAGAUAUCUGGCGGAACACCGAUGGCGAAGGCAGGUCACUGGGCCAUUACUGACGCUGAGGAGCGAAAGCAUGGGUAGCGAGCAGG
rnacentral:rRNA from 1 species